UUGGAGGGCAAGUCUGGUGCCAGCAGCCGCGGUAAUUCCAGCUCCAAUAGCGUAUAUUAAAGUUGUUGCAGUUAAAAAGCUCGUAGUUGAAUUUCGGGGUUCUACCGUUGGUCGGGCUUUGUCUGUACUGGUGUGUAGAAUUUCUACCUUCUGGGGAACCAUCAUGCUAUUAAUUUAGCGUGGUGGGAAACCAGGACCUUUACCUUGAAAAAAUUAGUGUGUUCAAAGCAGGCUUAUGUCUGAAUACAUUAGCGUGGAAUAAUAGAAUAGGACGGUGGUCCUGUUUUGUUGAUUUCUGAAUCACCGUAAUGAUUAAUAGGGAUAGUUGGGGGCAUUAGUAUUCAAUUGUCAGAGGUGAAAUUCUUGGAUUUAUUGAAGACUAACUUCUGCGAAAGCAUUUGCCAAGGAUGUUUUCAUUAAUCAAGAACGAAAGUUAGGGGAUCGAAGACGAUCAGAUACCGUCGUAGUCUUAACCAUAAACUAUGCCGACUAGGGAUCGGACGAUGUUAAUUUUUCUUGACUCGUUCGGCGCCUUACGGGAAAC
rnacentral:rRNA from 1 species